GAAGUGAGCCAGGUGUUAUGUAACAAGAAACUCCUCACGCCUUUGGAACAAGAUCUUGGCUAUCUGCUCAAAUAUGCUGUUGUACUAACUGAAAAUACUGCAAGGAAUACAAAAAUUGGGCAAAAGCUGCCUUGGGCCAAAGCCAGAGUGUAAUUACUGUCCAUGUGUACUUAACACUCAGUACCCACGGAAGAAGGCACUGCUUUUCUGUCAGCUGAGUAAGUGACAUUAUCCUGCGGUAAUGGGGUGCGUGCUGGUAGAUCCAAGGGAGAAGCAGACACACAGCAAACCUAAAAUUCCCAUCCAUGUGAAUUUGUCACCGUCACUGUCACCAGUUCUGGUCAGGAGAAGGAGGAAACUGCUACCAUAGCUAAGGAGCAAGAUCUGGGUGGGUUGAGGUGCCCUGACUGCUCACACUAAACAUAAGUGAAUACUUUCAAAGUUAAGUCCUCCAUGCAGAAGCCAACACAAAUUCCUUGCCAAGGCUGCUUCACUGGGGAAGCACACCCAAACCCACAGCCCUGGCUGAACCACCAAACCCACAGCCCUGGCUGAGCCACACCAGCCUCUCUUGCUCACCAGCUGCUUCUGUUUUCUAGGAUGCAUGAGCACUGCAUAGUCUGUCAUGUAUGGCUUUCAUGGGAAAAAGACCAAUGGCCACCAAAUCUUGCUUCUACAGUUGUGAAGUCCUGGGUGAGAUGUUUACACAGCCUACUCUUUUGCUCAGUUGUACAAGCAUUGCCUGACUACCAAAACCUUUGGAUGCCACCAGCAGAAUGCUGCUAAUAGUUACACAGUACUUAUUCAGAAAUGCAUUUAUGCAGCAUUUGAGCUUAUUUCCCAAAAAGAAAGCUUUGGUCACUGAUUUCAAUAACUAAGGCUUCUCUGACCCCUGUUGCAUCUAUUCAUAGCCCUCUCAUGGCCACAAAGAUAUGUGUGGAAAGUUUGGGGGUCCAUUCCUAUCUGCUGCAGGUCUUUUCUUGCCUGCUCUGUCAAAAGAUGUGCUGCUUGUUUUUAGGCAAGUUGCUUCAUUCUGCAGUUUCUCAGCUGCUCCAUCUGCAAAAUGAGGAUAAUAAGAAUCUCCUCUCUUAAAGAAGCCGACUGCUUCUCAUGGAAGUUUUUGCUAUGCUUGGGAUCUUUGGUUUGUGCUUGCUAAAGAAGUGAAAAAGAUUUAUUAUUAAAGCAAUUACAGUGUUGAUACGCUCGUGAUGAAUUCCCUGCAGGCAUGCAAAGGUACUAAAGGCCAAAUUUAUUUCUCAUUCAUACUUAUACAAGUUCCCUGCAGCUCCAGCAAUGCAGGCAGGGUUACUCCAGCUGAACAUGUGGUUCAUCUGCUUCUACGGCAACUCAGUUUGGAAUAUCACCAGUCACUCAUUCCUGACAGAACAGUGCAGAGGAAAUGUGCUACAGGGGUGGCUGCAAUAGCAUUUCCUUGUUGCUGAAAGCCUGAGAAUAAGCAGCUCCUAGUAGGGGCUAAUUAAGUGGAGGAUGUGUUUUCUCUGGUGUGAUGAUUGUUCUGCAGUUCUUUGUCAAAGCUGAUGCUACCUGUCUCUGGAAGAUCUUCAGAUGCAGAGCAAGAAUGGAGAUAUCUACCUUCCUGGGGAAGAGAAGUCAGUCCUCAAAGGACACUGUGCUUUCAUGUACAAAGAGGGUGAACCAGUCAAUUGGCUGGUCUGAGAGGAAUGGCCACUGCAGUGUGGACAGAAAUUGGUGAGAAAAACAACAACAGAAGGAAGAACAAGCACAAAUCAGGCACCAAGCACACAUUUCUCAAAAUAUGAAGGGUGUACAAUGGUACCAGGCACAGAAAACACAUGGUAUGGUUGUUACUGCCUGCCUGAGCAAUGCAUGUAGACACAGUUGUCUUUAAAAGUGCUGGUACAGCAGGCUCCGAGCAUACUGAUGAUUCAAUCUCUGAAAUAAUUCGAAAUGGCAGUCACGCUUCUGAAGGCACAAAGUCCUUAUCUUCCUUUUAAAGCAAAGAAGUCACUGCACCGGCAGGAAAAUACAAGGAAUGCUGGAGGGCUUUACAGCAAUGCAUAUCAAUGAAAGGCUCCUCUUGGCUAACCAUCCCAGAAUGAAACAUAUUCCUAGUGGUUCUGCCAAAGAUCCUUGAAACCCUUUGAUGGUGGUUGAUAGGGGAGAAAAUAAUCCUAACUGUGAAGCAGAUUAAAGUUUUUGUUGUCUUGCUCUUAGCAUUGUCUAUGCCUUUGCAAUGGACUUGGACUACCAGAGGAAGGCAAAUCUUUGCCAGAGGUACGGCAGCCAGGCCAAGAGAAGUCAGCAGUCCACAGUGUGCCAGCUGUCUCACUUUAUUUUUGCCUAUAACUACAUAUUUUUUUUUAUAUGGCUUUAACACCAGCUAGCAAAAUUAGUCAACGUUAGCCUGAAAGGAAAUGCUGUCAAUUGGUUUGGGAAAGGAAGCUCUCAAACGGAGCCAGUCUGUUUUGUAAAAGAGAAGGAAAGAAACUCCAGGCAACCAUCAAGGCAAUUUAGAUUUUUGCCACUGAUGGUAAAGGAAAAAGGAGUCUGAAGUAAAGAAGGGAAAGUCCAACUAGGUCAGCAAAGUCCCUGGUGGGCAGCAAUAGGGUAUCUGAGAGCUGGUAUGCAGAGCAGACAUGGAAAUGCUUGAAAGGAUUCAAUUUUAUGGCACAGUGAAAGAUUGUCUCUCCUUCUGUUUCUAUAUAAGGUAGGUAAUAAACUGUAUUUGAACUGGUAAAAGAGGAAUGAGAUGACCCACAUUUCAAAGCUGGAACCUGGUAGGUUAUUAUUAUUUAUGAUUCAUAAAGCUUGUGCAGUGCACCAAAAGAAAGGGAGGCGAGCUCCUAGCCCAGAGGAGCCUCCAGUGCAAACCUCGAGAGAAACACUCUACUGUGCAUGGGGUCAACUCCAAGGGCUUUUUUAAAAUUCUAAUUACAGUGUAAUGAAGAUCAGGCCUGCUCUUUCCAUCAGAAAACUGGGAUCUCUUUUCCUAUCUCUGCAGUAGGUGGUUUUUAUAUUAUGGGAAUGCAACAGCUGAAUAUUCUGUGAACUGAAAUAAGAACCUUCAGGUACCCCUUACUUUCCACUCUUGCUGCUUUUAGUUCCUUUCCUCCUCUUGCACAUUUCUGCAUUUUCUCACUUUCUGCUCCACAGAGCUUUUGCUACCAUUUUUUUUUCCUUUAUUAAUUUCUCAGCUUUUCAGUAUUAGUUUUUUUCCUUUUCAUGAGCUUUCUCUGGAGUCUCACAUUCACAUUUUAUGUCUUGCCAUUCAAUCAUUCCCUUCUUUUAGCUUUUCUUCCUCUUUGCCUCACUCUUCUCAUCCCUUUUCUGCCUCUCCUCCUUCCCUUCCCCCCGGCCAACCUUCUCCUUUCACCAACACCAUUUUCUCAAUCAAUACCCCAGUGGUAUCCCCCAAACCAGCAGCUUUCCCUUUGCUCUUCCUUCAGGAACAGAGCUCUCUAUCCAUCCUUCAGACAGGCUCUUCUCCCUGACCUGCACCCUGCCUUCGCAUUACCCCUCCACCUCUAGGACAAGGCUUACAGGUCUCUACCCAAGAAAACAGCUCCUCACCCUCCGAUUUCUCCAGGGAACCCUUCUGAGCACAUCAGUGUCCUUUUCAAGGUCCCCGGCCGUGAUCCCUGAAAGUCUUCAAAGGCCCCAGUGGUCCCUAAAGGUCUGCCAGCCCCCACUGCUCUUUGGCUCUUACAUCCCUCCUGGCCAUAAGACUCCAACUCCACGGCUACCAUGCAGCCGGACCGGCACACAGAGCCUUUCUGUUCCUGCUGUAUCCUCUUGGAGGGAGACCAAAACUGGACCCAGCAGCCAAGAUGAGAUACUCCAUGGAUUUACCAAUAAUACUCCAACACCUGCAGUCACAUACUCUACAGCUUUCUGGACAUAAUCCAACAACUUCUUUUUGACACAAAAAGGCACAAAAUGAAGCAUGUCCAUACUCACACAUGUUAAGUAAAAUGUCAUAUGUCACAACUGGAUGCUGCUUGUAUUUAGCAACAUUUUAUAGUGUUUUUGGUUUUUUCAGCAAUAAUUUUAAGAUCCCCAAUAGUGACAUACCAACGACAUGUGAUUAGAGCUACCCCACUGUCAGAGCACAAAAAUCUAACCGGCAUUAGUUAAUGAGACUUAAUGCAAGUGGAUUCAGGAGAGAACUCAUCAUAAUGAAUGAGUAUGAAAGAUGUAAAAUAGAUUUACAUCAUUGUAAGCAGAGCACCAGAAUUCACAAGGUGCUGAGCACAGUGACCUUAGCACCCUUUGCUCCUUGUGAUUUUUUCUGUGGAUAUGAAAAUACUCUGCAGAUUUACCAGGUUCCAAACUGAGAUGCGUCAGCAGACAGGGCGCAAAUACUUAACAUUUCUUAAGAUCUGGUCAAAUUAAAAUGAGUGUACUUUGCAAACAAGACUGGGCAGCCAUCAAUACUCCACAAACAUUCCAAAGUAUUCUUUAAUUAUAUAAACAGUAGCUAUUGAAAAUCAGUCCUGACAGACUUUUCAGGAAACCGUGGGAAAACACCACCUUACUUCUGCUGGCUAGAAAGUUCUACGUAUUUAAGAGGUGAGCUUUCUCAAGGCGUCAGAGCCACACUAUUCAUUUGCAGGGGUCUCAUAAGUGGAUCUGCAGUCUGAUGAAGCUCCAGGGUGUUUUGUGCUUCCUAUGCCUCUUCUCUGCAACCUUUGGGAUGAACCUUAUACAAAAAUCAUUAGGCUGCUUUCAAAGUGAUUCUUCUGAAAAAAUAAUCAUGUGCUUACUGUUAAGACUACAAAAUAUCAGCUUGGUCAAAUGAUGAUUACUGGUUUUCAUGGUUAUUUCCAUGAAAUGGUUAUUUCCUUUUUAGUAGAAUUGUCUGACCAAUUCAGCUUCCUGGGAUGUUACAGAUCAUAAGCAUUUGAGAACCACGGGUCCAUCUUGUUUCAUUGCACUAUUUAGUCUCAGAGUCCAAUUGCUUUCUGGUUAUUGAAAGAAGCUACAUAAAGAGAGGCAGAUUUCACCUCAGAUGGUUCUGUCCGUGAAAUAUUUUGCAAUGUUGCAGUGCCUGUUAUCUGAGGAUUUCAAAGCACAUCAUAAAAUAUUAACUUAUUUUACACUGCCUUUGGGAAGAAACUUCAGGUUCACUGGUAGUUAAAAUACAUCCACAUAAUUUAAGAGACUCCCUUAGAUUAAGGUGACAAGUAACACCAGAACCUGGAAAACUCUGUCUGGCUUCUGCUCUGAACAGAUCUUCCAGGAUCAUCUCAGCCUCUGCUAUAUAUGGAGGAAAACACUAAAUCAGCACUUUACAUCCAAAUGCCAUCAGUUUUCCCCAUAAGUAAAUGGUUGCCUAAGGAUAAUCAGACUUCUCUUCUGAUUAUACUUGUAAUCAAUGGGAUGGUCAUAAGAAUUAAAAGUAUAUUCAUUAAAAAGUC